rnacentral:rRNA from 1 species
CAAACCAAAGCUGGCGACCGGCGCACGGGUGAGUAACACGUAUCCAACCUGCCUCAUACUCGGGGACAGCCUUUCGAAAGAAAGAUUAAUAUCCGAUAGCAUAUAUUUCCCGCAUGGGUUUUAUAUUAAAGAAAUUCGGUAUGAGAUGGGGAUGCGUUCCAUUAGUUUGUUGGGGGGUAACGGCCCACCAAGACUACGAUGGAUAGGGGUUCUGAGAGGAAGGUCCCCCACAUUGGAACUGAGACACGGUCCAA